rnacentral:rRNA from 1 species
UGGGGAAUAUUGGACAAUGGGCGAAAGCCUGAUCCAGCCAUGCCGCGUGUGUGAAGAAGGUCUUCGGAUUGUAAAGCACUUUAAGUUGGGAGGAAUGGCAGUAAGCGAAUACCUUGCUGUUUUGACGUUACCGACAGAAUAAGCACCGGCUAACUCUGUGCCAGCAGCCGCGGUAAUACUGAGGGUGCAAGCGUUAAUCGGAAUUACUGGGCGUAAAGCGCGCGUAGGUGGUUCGUUAAGUUGAAUGUGAAAGCCCCGGGCUCAACCUGGGAACUGCAUCCAAAACUGGCGAGCUAGAGUAGGGCAGAGGGUGGUGGAAUUUCCUGUGUAGCGGUGAAAUGCGUAGAUAUAGGAAGGAACACCAGUGGCGAAGGCGACCACCUGGGCUCAUACUGACACUGAGGUGCGAAAGCGUGGGGAGCAAACAGG